rnacentral:rRNA from 1 species
GAUGAAUAGACCGGUUUUCGUUCGAUCACCGAAGUUAAGCAUCGUUGAGCCAGGUCAGUACCUAAAAGAGGAACCGCUUGGGAACACCUGGUACUGUAAG